rnacentral:rRNA from 1 species
UGGGGAAUUUUGGACAAUGGGCGCAAGCCUGAUCCAGCAAUGCCGCGUGAGUGAAGAAGGCCUUCGGGUUGUAAAGCCCUUUUGUCAGGGAAGAAACGGCGGAGGUUAAUCCCCUCUGCUAAUGACGGUACCCGAAGAAUAAGCACCGGCUAACUACGUGCCAGCAGCCGCGGUAAUACGUAGGGUGCAAGCGUUAAUCGGAAUUACUGGGCGUAAAGCGUGCGCAGGCGGUUUUGUAAGUCUGUCGUGAAAUCCCCGGGCUCAACCUGGGAAUUGCGAUGGAGACUGCAAGGCUAGAAUCUGGCAGAGGGGGGUAGAAUUCCACGUGUAGCAGUGAAAUGCGUAGAGAUGUGGAGGAACACCGAUGGCGAAGGCAGCCCCCUGGGUCAAGAUUGACGCUCAUGCACGAAAGCGUGGGGAGCAAAC